GAUGAACGCUGGCGGCGUGCCUAAUACAUGCAAGUCGAGCGAACGGACGAGAAGCUUGCUUCUCUGAUGUUAGCGGCGGACGGGUGAGUAACACGUGGAUAACCUACCUAUAAGACUGGGAUAACUUCGGGAAACCGGAGCUAAUACCGGAUAAUAUUUUGAACCGCAUGGUUCAAAAGUGAAAGACGGUCUUGCUGUCGCUUAUAGAUGGAUCCGCGCUGCAUUAGCUAGUUGGUAAGGUAACGGCUUACCAAGGCAACGAUGCAUAGCCGACCUGAGAGGGUGAUCGGCCACACUGGAACUGAGACACGGUCCAGACUCCUACGGGAGGCAGCAGUAGGGAAUCUUCCGCAAUGGGCGAAAGCCUGACGGAGCAACGCCGCGUGAGUGAUGAAGGUCUUCGGAUCGUAAAACUCUGUUAUUAGGGAAGAACAUAUGUGUAAGUAACUGUGCACAUCUUGACGGUACCCAAUCAGAAAGCCACGGCUAACUACGUG
rnacentral:rRNA from 1 species